rnacentral:rRNA from 1 species
AACUUUUAACAACGGAUCUCUUGGUUCUCGCAUCGAUGAAGAACGUAGCAAAGUGCGAUAACUAGUGUGAAUUGCAUAUUCAGUGAAUCAUCGAGUCUUUGAACGCAUCUUGCGCUCAAUGGUAUUCCAUUGAGCACGCCUGUUUCAGUAUCAA